rnacentral:rRNA from 1 species
AGUGAACGCUGGCGGUAGGCCUAACACAUGCAAGUCGAACGGCAGCACAGUAAGAGCUUGCUCUUACGGGUGUAGAGUGUCGGACGGGUGCGGAAUACUUCGGAAUAUACUUUUUCGUGGGGGAUAAUGUCGGGAAACUUACGCUAAUACAGCAUACGUCCUACGGGUGAAAGCAGGGGAUGUUCUGACCUUGCGCGAUUGAAUGAGCCGAUGUCGGAUUCGCUAGUUGGCGGGGUAAAGGCGCACCAAGGCGACGCUCCGUAUCUGGUCUGACAGGAUGAACAGACACACUGUAACUGAGACACGGUCCAGACUCCUACGGGAAGCAGCAGUGGAGAAUAUUGGACGAUGGACGCAAGCCUGAUCCUGCCAUAUCGCGUGGAUGAAGAAGGCCUUCUGGUUGGAGAGCCCUGUUGUUGUGAAAGUAAAGCAGCAGUUUAACACCCCAUUGUUCUGACGGUACCCAAAGAAUAAGCUCCGGCUAACUUCGUG